UCCUGUGUUGUGUGUUCAGCCGCGUUGUCCCGGCCGGCUGCUUCCGAUGCCCUCAAGAAAGGUUCCGGGCAAAGUCCGACGGAUGUAGGAAAGCGGGAAAGGUCGGCUGUGGUGCACGGAUGUGGAGCGGAGCUAUAGUCCCCAAGGCGCGUGGUCGUUUGUGAUAAUUUAAGUGAAGAAUAAUAUGAUCGGAUUGAUGUUUGAGAAGGAAAACGAGGAUAUCGUGGAGUAGGAUUGAUUCGAGAAGUGGAAAGCAGGGCAGUUUUCGGUUGAUGGCAGUACUGAGCAGAAGAUACAGAGCUUUACCACCGGCCCCCACACAUGCAUAGUCCCCCCCCAUUAUCAAUGGCCUCCCCCAGAGGGGUAUGUUUGUUACAUUUGAUGAACAUACAAUGACAUGUCAUUAUCACCCAAAGUUCUUAGUUUAUAUCACGGUUCACUCUUGCUGUUUGUUGUAUAUUCUGUGGGUUUUGACAAAUACAUAAUGACAUAUAACCACCAUUAUAGUGUCAUACAGUGUAAUUUCACUGCCUUAAAAAUCCUCUGGGCUAUGCCUACUUAUCCUGCAUACCCCCCAACCCCUGGCAUCCAGUGAUCCUUUCAUGGUUUCCAUAGUUUUGUGGGGGUUUUAGUUAGUUAGUUUGUUUUUUGUUUUGUUUUUUGCCUUUUCGAGAAUGUCGUAUAGUUGGAAUCAUCCAAUAUGUCGCCUCUUCAGAUUGGCUUCUUUUACUUAGCAAAAUGCAUUUAAGUUUCCUCCUUGUGUUUUCAUGGCGUGACAGCUCAUUUCUUUUCAGCACCAAAUAAUAUUCCAUUGUCUGGAUGCACCAGCAACGUUUAUUUAUGUGUUCACCUACUGAAGGAGAUCUUGGUUGCUUCUAAGUUUGGCAAUCAGAAACAAAGCUCCCCAAAACAUUCAUGUGCAGGUUUUUGUGUGGAUAUACUUUUCACUUCCUUUGGAUAAAUGCCAAGGAGUAUGAUCACUGGUUUGUAUGGUAAGAAUAUGUUUAGUUUUCUACGAAACCACCAAACUGUCUUCCAGUUUUCAUUCUCACCAACAAUGAAAAGUUCCUCAUUAGCUUGUGGUAUUGUCAGUUUUCUGGAUUUUGGCCAAUCUAAUAUGUGCAUAGUGGUAUCUCUUGUUUUAAUUUGCAUUUCCCUGAUGACGUAUUAUGUGGAGCAUCUUUUCCUAUGCUCA